rnacentral:rRNA from 1 species
UGGGGAAUUUUGGACAAUGGGCGAAAGCCUGAUCCAGCCAUGCCGCGUGAGUGAAGAAGGCCUUCGGGUUGUAAAGCUCUUUUAGUCGGAAAGAAAGAGUUGCAAUGAAUAAUUGUGAUUUAUGACGGUACCGACAGAAAAAGCACCGGCUAACUACGUGCCAGCAGCCGCGGUAAUACGUAGGGUGCGAGCGUUAAUCGGAAUUACUGGGCGUAAAGGGUGCGCAGGCGGUCUUGCAAGUCAGAUGUGAAAGCCCCGGGCUUAACCUGGGAAUUGCGUUUGAAACUACAAGGCUAGAGUGCAGCAGAGGGGAGUGGAAUUCCAUGUGUAGCAGUGAAAUGCGUAGAGAUGUGGAAGAACACCGAUGGCGAAGGCAGCUCCCUGGGUUGACACUGACGCUCAUGCACGAAAGCGUGGGGAGCAAACU